rnacentral:rRNA from 1 species
GACGAACGCUGGCGGCGUGCUUAACACAUGCAAGUCGAGCGGAGCGGCGGACGGGUGAGUAACGCGUGAGUAACUGCCCCCCUCUCGGGGAUCACAGUUGGAAACGGCUGCUAAUACCGGAUAGUGGGGUAUGGCUCGCGUCCUAUCAGCUUGGUUGGGGGGUAGUGGCCUACCAAGGCGAUGACGGGUCGCCGGCCUGGGAGGGCGACCGGCCACAUUGCGCUGAGAUACGACCCAGACUCCUACGGGAGGCAACGGAGGGGAAUAUUGCACAACGGAGGAAACGCAGAUGCAACAACGCCGCGUGGGGGAUAACGGGCUUCGGGUUGUAAACCACUUUCAGCCAAGACGCGGUAGUGGAAGAAGAAGCACCGGCUAACUACGUGCCAGCAGCCGCGGUAAUUC